rnacentral:rRNA from 1 species
UACGGGAAGGCAGCAGUGGGGAAUAUUGCACAAUGGGCGAAAGCCUGAUGCAGCUAUGCCGCGUGUAUGAAGAAGGCCUUAGGGUUGUAAAGUACUUUCAUCGGGGAGGAAAAACAAAACUAAUAAUUUUAUUUCUUGACGUUACCCGAAAAAGAAGCACCGGCUAACUCCGUGCCAGCAGCCGCGGUAAUACGGAGGGUGCUAGCGUUAAUCAGAAUUACUGGGCGUAAAGAGCACGUAGGUGGUUUUUUUAAGUCAGAUGUGAAAUCCCUGGGCUUAACCUAGGAACUGCAUUUUGAAACUGAAAUACUAGAGUAUCGUAGAGGGAGGUAGAAUUCUAGGUGUAGCGGUGAAAUGCGUAGAUAUCUGGAGGAAUACCUGUGGCGAAAGCGGCCUCCUAAACGAAUACUGACACUGAGGUGCGAAAGCGUGGGGAGCAAACGAGGGAUUAGACUA